rnacentral:rRNA from 1 species
ACGAACGCUGGCGGCGUGCUUAACACAUGCAAGUCGAACGGAAAGGCCCUGCUUUUGUGGGGUGCUCGAGUGGCGAACGGGUGAGUAACACGUGAGUAACCUGCCCUUGACUUUGGGAUAACUUCAGGAAACUGGGGCUAAUACCGGAUAGGAGCUCCUGCUGCAUGGUGGGGGUUGGAAAGUUUCGGCGGUUGGGGAUGGACUCGCGGCUUAUCAGCUUGUUGGUGGGGUAGUGGCUUACCAAGGCUUUGACGGGUAGCCGGCCUGAGAGGGUGACCGGCCACAUUGGGACUGAGAUACGGCCCAGACUCCUACGGGAGGCAGCAGUGGGGAAUAUUGCACAAUGGGCGGAAGCCUGAUACAGCAACGCCGCGUGCGGGAUGACGGCCUUCGGGUUGUAAACCGCUUUCGCCUGUGACGAAGCGUGAGUGACGGUAAUGGGUAAAGAAGCACCGGCUAACUACGUG